ACUCAAAGGAAUAGACGGGGGCCCGCACAAGCGGCGGAGCAUGCGGAUUAAUUCGAUGCAACGCGAAGAACCUUACCUGGGUUUGACAUCACCCGUUUAGCUGUGGAGACAUGGUGUCCCUUUGGGGCGGGUGACAGGUGGUGCAUGGCUGUCGUCAGCUCGUGUCGUGAGAUGUUGGGUUAAGUCCCGCAACGAGCGCAACCCUUAUCCUAUGUUGCCAGCACGUGAUGGUGGGGACUCAUGGGAGACUGCCGGGGUCAACUCGGAGGAAGGUGGGGAUGAGGUCAAGUCAUCAUGCCCCUUAUGUCCAGGGCUUCACGCAUGCUACAAUGGCCGGUACAGAGGGCUGCGAUACCGUGAGGUGGAGCGAAUCCCUAAAAGCCGGUCUCAGUUCGGAUCGGGGUCUGCAACUCGACCCCGUGAAGUCGGAGUCGCUAGUAAUCGCAGAUCAGCAACGCUGCGGUGAAUACGUUCCCGGGCCUUGCACACACCGCCCGU
rnacentral:rRNA from 1 species